rnacentral:rRNA from 1 species
AUUGAACGCUGGCGGCAUGCUUUACACAUGCAAGUCGAACGGCAGCGCGGGCUUCGGCCUGGCGGCGAGUGGCGAACGGGUGAGUAAUGCAUCGGAACGUGCCCAGUAGUGGGGGAUAGCCCGGCGAAAGCCGGAUUAAUACCGCAUACGACCUGAGGGUGAAAGCGGGGGACCGAAAGGCCUUCCGCUAUUGGAGCGGCCGAUGUCGGAUUAGCUAGUUGGUGGGGUAAAGGCUUACCAAGGCGACGAUCCGUAGCUGGUCUGAGAGGACGACCAGCCACACUGGGACUGAGACACGGCCCAGACUCCUACGGGAGGCAGCAGUGGGGAAUUUUGGACAAAGGGGGCAACCCUGAUCCAGCCAUGCCGCGUGCGGGAAGAAGGCCUUCGGGUUGUAAACCGCUUUUGUUCGGGAAGAAAUCCUCUGGGCUAAUACCCCGGGGGGAUGACGGUACCGGAAGAAUAAGCACCGGCUAACUACGUG